UCAGACGAUGCGUCAUGCAUAUCAAUAAGCGGAGGAAAAGAAACUAACAAGGAUUCCCCUAGUAACGGCGAGUGAAGCGGGAAGAGCUCAAAUUUGAAAUCUUAAAGGGUUUCCCUUUACGAAUUGUAGUUUAAAGAAGUGUUUUCUGUUGAGGUUUUGGUAAAAGUUCUUUGGAAUAGGACAUCAUAGAGGGUGAGAAUCCCGUAUUUGACCUUUACUUUCAACUUUGUGAUACACUUUCAAAGAGUCGGAUUGUUUGGGAAUGCAGUCCAAAAUGGGUGGUAAAUUUCAUCUAAAGCUAAAUAUUGGCGAGAGACCGAUAGCGAACAAGUACCGUGAGGGAAAGAUGAAAAGAACUUUGAAAAGAGAGUUAAACAGUACGUGAAAUUGUCAAAAGGGAAGCGUUUGACACCAGUGUUGUUUUUCUGAAAAUCAAUUAAAGAACUGUUUAUGCUAAGCUGUUUAGACUUUAUCAGCUAUCUGUUUAGUUUUGAGCUUUUCUUUAAUGCACUUUUCAGUUAACAAGUCAACAUCAAUUUCUUUUGCUGUAAAAAAGCUUGAGGAAGGUGGCUUGAGAUUCGUCUUAAGUGUUUAUAGCCUCUUGCCUAUGCAGUCGGAGGGAUUGAGGUCUGCAGCGUAGAUCCUUCGGGGCUAAAUGCAUUUGUGCUAAGUUAUAGCAUUUUAUAGACAACUUGUUGACUAUGAUUUGUCUUGUAGCUUACUCGCUUAUGUUAUUUUACCUACGCUUAGGAUGUUGACACACGCGCGUGCUCG
rnacentral:rRNA from 1 species